CUCAUCUCACCUUUCCUAAUUGACUCCACAAAAUUAAAACUUCGCUGCCACUUCCCAAUCCUCACCGCCGCUUCCAUCUUCGCCAUCCCAAUCCUCACCGUCGCUGUCCCCUUCCAUCUUCGCCGUCCCAAACUGUACCUCCGGCUUCGCCAUCCUAAUCCUUACCACUGCUGCCCCCUUCAAUCUUCGUUGUCCCAAACCGCGUUGUCGGUGACGAACUCAAGCGAACCCAAAGAGAACCUCAGGUACUUGUUUUAUUUGAUGAACAAACGCCUUUGCCGAUCCUGAGGUACUUUGAGAACCUCGGGUACUUUAUCAAUCGACGAACGGACACCUUCAUCGAUCCUCAGGUAUGAUUAUGGCAUACAUGCGUAUUUUUUCAUCAAGGCGAUCCUCGAGGGAAGGGAGAUAAUGAACGUUGAAGCCUUACACAUGGAGUCGCAUAUGCUACGAGUAGGACUUGCUGCUCAACUCAUAUGUGAAGGGCGUGAAUGGAAAAAAAAACUACGGUUUGAAAUUAGACAGUGAUGAUGCAGAAUAUUUUUUGUACUUUGGGGGUAGUGAUGUACCUAUGAUUGAGUGGAAGUAUUAGACUCUACAUGUAACUGUAACAAUUGUUUAAACGCUAUGAUGUAAAGGAUAACUAGUUUACUAGUUGUGUGUGACAUUUGUUGGAUUGUUGUGUGAGCUAUAUGUGAAGAUAUGUGACCAUUAGUAUGAUGUGUAACGUUUGGGGCUUUUAUGUGACGUUUUAGUAUGGUGUGUGACU